GAACACUCAUCGGGGAGCGAACCAUUCAAAUAAUGAAUGCGAGCUGAGAUCAAGCAGACACUUGGGACCCGUAAACCUGAACCAGAUAAUGCUGGCGUAGGAAUUGAGUUAGGAACAACC
rfam:Vibrio splendidus LGP32 chromosome 1